rnacentral:misc_RNA from 1 species
AGGACUACCGGGGUAUCUAAUCCUGUUUGCUCCCCACGCUUUCGUGCCUCAGUGUCAGUAUUAGGCCAGGUAGCCACCUUCGCCACUGGUGUUCCUUCCGAUCUCUACGCAUUUCACCGCUACACCGGAAAUUCCACUACCCUCUCCCAUACUCGAGUCUACCAGUCUUAUCUGACCUGCCCAGGUUAAGCCCAGGGAUUUCACAGAUAACUUAAUAAACCACCUACGCACCCUUUACGCCCAGUAAUUCCGAUUAACGCUCGCACCCUCCGUAUUACCGCGGCGGCUGGCAC